rnacentral:rRNA from 1 species
UACGUAGGGACCAAGCGUUGUCCGGAAUCAUUGGGCGUAAAGAGCGUGUAGGCGGCUUGUUAAGUCUUGCGUGAAAUCUCGGGGCUCAACCCCGAGCGGUCGUGAGAAACUGGCAGGCUAGAGUGCGGGAGAGGAGAGUGGAAUUCCUGGUGUAGCGGUGAAAUGCGCAGAUAUCAGGAAGAACGCCCGUGGCGAAGGCGGCUCUCUGGAACGCAACUGACGCUGAGACGCGAAAGCGUGGGGAGCAAACAGG